CCUACGGGUGGCAGCAGUGAGGAAUAUUGGUCAAUGGGCGCGAGCCUGAACCAGCCAAGUCGCGUGAGGGAUGACGGUCCUACGGAUUGUAAACCUCUUUUGCCGGGGAGCAGGCGUUCGUUCGUGAACGCGCGUCGAGAGUACCCGGAGAAAAAACAUCGGCUAACUCCGUGCCAGCAGCCGCGGUAAUACGGAGGAUGCGAGCGUUAUCCGGAUUUAUUGGGUUAAAAGGGUGCGUAGGCGGGAUGCCAAGUCAGCGGUAAAAAAGCGGGGCUCAACGCGGUCGAGCCGUUGAAACUGGCGUGCUUGAGUGGGGGAGAGGUAUGCGGAAUGCGAGGUGUAGCGGUGAAAUGCAUAGAGAUCACGCAGAAUUCCGAUGGCGAAGGCAGCAUACCGGCGACAUACUGACGCUGAGGCACGAAAGCGUGGGUAUCGAACAGGAUUAGAUACCCCGGUAGUC
rnacentral:rRNA from 1 species